CCCCUAGACGUUCUGGGCCGCACGCGCGCUACACUGAUGCAUUCAACGAGUUUCUUCCUGGUCCGAGAGGAAUGGGUAACCUUUUGAAAGUGCAUCGUGAUAGGGAUAGACUAUUGCAAUUAUUGGUCUUCAACGAGGAAUUCCUAGUAGACGUAGUUCAUCAGACUGCAUCGAUUACGUCCCUGCCCUUUGUACACACCGCCCGUCGCUCCUACCGAUUGAAUGCUCAGGUGAGCCAUUCGGACUUUCAUCAUGCUGGUUUCCAGUUUUGAUGAAGGAAAGUCUUGCGAACCUUAUCAUUUAGAGGAAGGAGAAGUCGUAACA
rnacentral:rRNA from 1 species